UAAUUAUCUAAACAUAAGGAACCUAAAUACAAUCGCAUGCAAUAAUAUCAUACAGUAACUACGAAGAACUCUAGGAGCCCCUAACCUACAACCCUAAUCCUAGACCUCCAGACUCUCCUAUCAACGGUCAUAUCCUCGGAAACCUGCAUUCUAGUCAUAUCCUGCCUGAUCACCUCUCCCCAAUGCUUCUUAGGCCUCCCUCUGCCUCGCCGACCGCCAACAAUCUCCAGCCGCUCGCAGCUCCUCACCGGGGCAUCGGGACCCCUNN
rnacentral:lncRNA from 1 species